GGUGCCCACAUUGGACGAC
rnacentral:miRNA from 1 species